AAGAGCUCGUAGGCGGUUUAGUAAGUCGGGUGUGAAAACUCUGGGCUUAACCCGGAGACGCCAUCCGAUACUGCUAUGACUUGAGUUCAGGAGGGGAGCGGGGAAUUCCUAGUGUAGCGGUGAAAUGCGCAGAUAUUAGGAGGAACACCGGUGGCGAAGGCGCCGCUCUGGACUGAAACUGACGCUGAGGAGCGAAAGCAUGGGUAGCAAACAGGAUUAGAUACCCCAGU
rnacentral:rRNA from 1 species